GACGAACGCUGGCGGCGUGCCUAAUACAUGCAAGUAGAACGCUGAAGGAGGAGCUUGCUUCUCUGGAUGAGUUGCGAACGGGUGAGUAACGCGUAGGUGACCUGCCUGGUAGCGGGGGAUAACUAUUGGAAACGAUAGCUAAUACCGCAUAAGAGUAGAUGUCGCAUGACAUUUGCUUAAAAGGUGCAAUUGCAUCACUACCAGAUGGACCUGCGUUGUAUUAGCUAGUUGGUGAGGUAACGGCUCACCAAGGCAACGAUACAUAGCCGACCUGGGAGGGUGAUCGGCCAACAUGGGACUGAGGCACGGCCCAAGACCCUACGGGAGGCAGCAGUAGGGGAUCUUCGGCAAUGGAGGGAAGUCUGACCGAGCAACGCCGGGUGAGUUAAGAAGGUUUUCGGAUCGUAAAGCUCUGUUGUAAGAGAAGAAAGAGUGUGAGAGUGGAAAGUUCACACUGUGACGGUAUCUUACCAGAAAGCGACGGCUAACUACGUG
rnacentral:rRNA from 1 species